UGGCAGAAUUGGACUACUUUGUCCAGAUUGUUCUGGCUUGAGUGUGCAAAGCUCAAGAGCUGUUGGGUCGUGGAGACUUGUACCAACAUCCCAGGAAACAGUUGUGAAGGACAGGCAAUGCAGAGGAAGAUCACAUUCUGAAUGUGGAGCUAUAAAGAAGCCCAGUUUGCAACAGAGACCCUGGGAUGUUCUACAUAUCAGGAAAAGGGACCAUCUUUUAAAAGAUACAGGCAGGGCCGGAGAGAUAGCUCAUUGGUUAAGAGCACCAGCUGCUCCUGUACAAAGGACCCAGGUUCAAUUCUCAGUACCCACAUAGCUGCUUACUAAUAUAACGCCAGUUCCAGGUGAUCAAUGGUACCAGGCAUGUACGAGGUGCACAUAUAGGUAAAACACCCAUAUACAUAAAAUAAAAA
rnacentral:lncRNA from 1 species